GGGGCCGAACUGGAUUCGACCGGACAGGGAACGCACGACGUGGCGCGUCGAGGUGCACGUUGGCCUCGUAAAAAAACGUGCAAAAUAUUAAUUGCUAACAGCAAUUACGCUCUCGCGGCCUAACUAAGGCUGCAUGACCCCCACCCGAUGCCUGAUGGGGAGGGGGUCAAAAACAUCAGGCUGGCAGAGAUCCGCCGCCUUCGGGGGUCACCUGCGAGACAACACCGGGGGCUGGGCAUGCGGAAAGGGCGCGGGCGCUCGCGACGCAUGCCGAGAUCAAAUCGCCCGACACACGCGUAGAAGCGUCGUGCCGACUGCCUCGGGACGGGGGUUCGAUUCCCCCCGGCUCCAUUC
rnacentral:tmRNA from 1 species